AUACGUAGGGAGCGAGCGUUAUCCGGAUUUAUUGGGUUUAAAGGGAGCGCAGGCGGAGAUGCAAGCGUGACGUCAAAUUUCGGGGCUCAACCCCGUCUCGCGUCGCGAACUGCGUCCCUUGGUUGCGGGAAGGGGAGGCGGAACUCGUGGUGUAGCGGUGAAAUGCAUAGAUAUCACGAAGAACUCCGAUCGCGAAGGCAGCCUUCCGGCCCGUCAACGACGCUCAUGCUCGAAGGUGCGGGUAUCAAACAGGAUUAGAUACCCUGGUAGUCCGCACAGUAAACGAUGGACACCCGCGGUUUGGCCUGUAUGGCUGAGCCGCCAAGCGAAAGCGUUAAGUGUCCCACCUGGGGAGUACGCCGGCAACGGUGAAACUCAAAUGAAUUGGCGGGG
rnacentral:rRNA from 1 species